CAUUCUCAAACCUUCUUGGUUUCUCGACCAGGAAGGCUUUGGACUUUGGAGGCUUUUGCUGGGGUUCCUUUGUUGGAAGCCAGCUCCUCUGAAAUGAAUUAGUGGGGGGUCUGCAUUGCCGAUCCUUGACGUGAUAAGAUUGUUUUCUACGUCUCGGGUUUUUGCACUCCUGCUUCUAACCGUCUUCACAGAAGACAAAUGGUCGAGUGAUUGCCACUUGACCCAUGAACC
rnacentral:misc_RNA from 1 species